rnacentral:rRNA from 1 species
UACGUAGGGUGCGAGCGUUGUCCGGAAUUAUUGGGCGUAAAGAGCUCGUAGGCGGUUUGUCGCGUCGGCCGUGAAAACUUGGGGCUUAACCCCAAGCCUGCGGUCGAUACGGGCAGACUUGAGUUCGGCAGGGGAGACUGGAAUUCCUGGUGUAGCGGUGAAAUGCGCAGAUAUCAGGAGGAACACCGGUGGCGAAGGCGGGUCUCUGGGCCGAUACUGACGCUGAGGAGCGAAAGCAUGGGGAGCGAACAGG